GUGCCAAUUUUCUUUUAUAAUUUUUAAACUAUAAUUCGUAGUUAUAUACUUACAAUGGGAAAAAUUUAGCAUAAUUAGUACUCUAUUUAAAUUGACCUCUCCGAAGAAAAUCGAAAUCGCAUUAAUCCCGUGCCGAGAGGUUAUAUUUAAUAAAAAUUAGGGAGUCACGUCGAUAUUUAGAUCCCCGUCGCGAAUGUAGUUCAUUCUACGACGGUGGCGCCACGUUAUUUCCAGGUUCCAUUGCGAUCACGUUUCGUCUUGGGUGAAGUUUAGUAAAUUUUUCAUUUACGUUCAUCGGUCCAUUUAUAUUGUUUUUAAUUGUUUAUUUUAUUGAUUUCGAAGACAUUCUUCCACCUCGUGGAAUUGGGAUCUUCGUGGGAUCAUUUUACCCUCUUUUAUCGUUUAAUUUAUCUUGAUUUCAGGUUACCUUCAGUUCGACAUCGGUAUGGGGCCACCGAAGAAGUUGAAGGGGGCGGCUCUGAGUUCCCCCGUAAUGCUAAAAUUCUUAGACUAGAAUGGAGCAUUCGGUUUAUUGGUUUAUUAGCCCCCUAACCUAAGCUAACUAACUAACAUCCAAACACUAUCUUUCCUCGAACGAGCGGAGAAAGCGGAACUAUCAGCGGAAAUGACCUAAACAAAACACCCUAUCCGAAAAAUGAGCUGAAAGGGAACUAUGUUGUUGUUAGGGAAGUAUUAUACACUACGUGUACACCCCUCAACGCAGUACGCCGUGGUACACGUCAGGGAAUACUCCCCAAUGGAAGUUGCGCUAAAAAGCACUACUUCCUAAGAAAAUAGGAACCGCCGCAACGUUCAAAUGAACCUACGCGGUUGAAAUGUGGUAUUAUUUGAACGGUUAUAUUGGGCAUGCGCCGAUACAGAAGAUGUAUUUUUUUCAAAUGGCGCCAUCUAUACAACUGUCACGGGAACUGUCAAAAAAUC